rnacentral:rRNA from 1 species
UCCAGACUCCUACGGGAGGCAGCAGUGGGGAAUAUUGGGCAAUGGACGCAAGUCUGACCCAGCAACGCCGCGUGAAGGAAGAAGGCUUUCGGGUUGUAAACUUCUUUUAAGGGGGAAGAGCAGAAGACGGUACCCCUUGAAUAAGCCACGGCUAACUACGUGCCAGCAGCCGCGGUAAUACGUAGGUGGCAAGCGUUGUCCGGAUUUACUGGGUGUAAAGGGCGUGCAGCCGGAGAGACAAGUCAGAUGUGAAAUCCGCAGGCUCAACCUGCGAACUGCAUUUGAAACUGUUUCCCUUGAGUAUCGGAGAGGUCAUCGGAAUUCCUAGUGUAGCGGUGAAAUGCGUAGAUAUUAGGAGGAACACCAGUGGCGAAGGCGGCCUGCUGGACGAUGACUGACGUUGAGGCUCGAAAGCGUGGGGAGCAAACAGGAUUAGAUACCCCAGUAU